rnacentral:lncRNA from 1 species
GGCUCACUGCAACCUCCGUCUCCUGGGUUCAAGCAAUUCUCUUGCCUCAGCCUCCAGAGUAGCUGGGAUUACAGGUGCCCACCACCACACCCGGCUAAUUUUUUUAUAUUUUUAGUAGACACGGGGUUUCACCAUGUUGGCCAGGCCGGUCUUGAACUUGUGACGUCAGGUGAUGCACCCGCCUUGGCCUCCCAAAGUGCUGGGAUUACAGGUGGGUGCCUGGCCAAGGGGCUGAUAUUUCUUAAGGGCUUUCCCCAAGAAGGAAAAAGCCAAACCUACUCAGGCAAAUCUUGUUUAUUUAUUCUUCUAGGUCCAGAUUUUGAACAAAUCUCGCUAGAGAUUGAACAGAGCUGCGCCUGGAUCCCGCCACAGUGAGGAGACCUGAAGACCAGAGAAAACACAG